GAGUUUGAUCCUGGCUCAGGACGAACGCUGGCGGCGUGCCUAAUACAUGCAAGUCGAGCGGAUCGAUGGGAGCUUGCUCCCUGAGAUCAGCGGCGGACGGGUGAGUAACACGUGGGUAACCUGCCUGUAAGACUGGGAUAACUCCGGGAAACCGGGGCUAAUACCGGAUAACACCUACCCCCGCAUGGGGGAAGGUUGAAAGGUGGCUUCGGCUAUCACUUACAGAUGGACCCGCGGCGCAUUAGCUAGUUGGUGAGGUAAYGGCUCACCAAGGCGACGAUGCGUAGCCGACCUGAGAGGGUGAUCGGCCACACUGGGACUGAGACACGGCCCAGACUCCUACGGGAGGCAGCAGUAGGGAAUCUUCCGCAAUGGACGAAAGUCUGACGGAGCAACGCCGCGUGAGUGAAGAAGGUUUUCGGAUCGUAAAACUCUGUUGUUAGGGAAGAACAAGUGCCGUUCGAAUAGGGCGGCGCCUUGACGGUACCUAACCAGAAAGCCACGGCUAACUACGUGCCAGCAGCCGCGGUAAUAC
rnacentral:rRNA from 1 species